rnacentral:rRNA from 1 species
GACGAACGCUGGCGGCGUGCCUAAUACAUGCAAGUCGAACGCAGUGGGGACGGGGGAGUAACACGUGGGUAACCUCCCAUCAGAGGGGAUAACACAUGGAAACAGGUGCUAAACCGAUACUGCAGGAUGGACCCGCGGUGCAUUAGCUAGUUGGUGAGGUAACGGCUCACCAAGGCCACGAUGCAUAGCCGACCUGAGAGGUGGUUCGUCCACACUGGGGUUGAGACAGUGCCCCUACUCCUACGGGAGGCAUCACGUGGGAAUCGUCGGCUAUGUACGAGAGUCUGACCGUUCAACGCUGCCUGAGUGAAUAGGUUUUUCGGAUCUUAAAACUCUGUUGCUAGGGAAGAGGUGUCUAACCAUAAGGCCACGGCUAACUCCGUGCCAGCAGCCGCGGUAAUAC